AUGUGUGUGUGUUCAGUAACACGCACGCGAACACAGCCAGACCCAAAGCGAGGGCUGUUGCCAAAGAUUGUGACAGUUUUUUAUGGACAGGCCCUCUCUUUUCCAAGCCCAGUAAGUAGACUAUACCAUAAAGUACCUUAGGUAUAUGAUAUUCAUGUUUGCCCUAGACAAUGGCCCUAAUAUUUGCAGUUUUCUUGUAAAUUUUAAUAGGUCAAAAAUCUAUUUUGAAAAUCUAGAUUGACAUUGCAUUGCACCACCUACACUCAAAAAAAGUUACAAAAACUGGGCAGUACCCUUUAAAAGGUACACCUUUGUACAUUUACCCCUAUACUGUACAUAUUAGUACCUAAAUGCUCUUUGAAAUAAAGGUUCCCAAAAUGCACUCCUUCAUUAAAAUGCUUAUCCCAUAUACCUGCAUCAACAUUCAUCUGAUUUUGUAUGUUGGCUAGGGGCUGUUGCCAAAGAUUGUGACAGUUUUUUAUGGACAGGCCCUCUCUUUUCCAAGCCCAGUAAGUAGACUAUACCAUAAAGUACCUUAGGUAUAUGAUAUUCAUGUUUGCCCUAGACAAUGGCCCUAAUAUUUGCAGUUUUCUUGUAAAUUUUAAUAGGUCAAAAAUCUAUUUUGAAAAUCUAGAUUGACAUUGCAUUGCACCACCUACACUCAAAAAAAGUUACAAAACUGGGGCAGUACCCUUUAAAAGGUACACCUUUGUACAUUUACCCCUAUACUGUACAUAUUAGUACCUAAAUGCUCUUUGAAAUAAAGGUUCCCAAAAUGAGUUUUGCAGUAAUGCCUAUAGAAGAAAUUUUUUUUUGGAGGGGGUUCCCCAAAUAACCUCUCAGUAAUCAGUUCUUAAGAUAACCUCUUUUUUUAAGCAUAAAGAACAUUUUAAUGAUCUAAAGAACCAUUUUCCACUAUAAAGAAUGCAUGGUUCUUCAUGGAACAAUAAAAGUCAUUAAAGAAGCUUUAUUUUUAAGAACGUAGUACUUUUUGUAAAGUCAGUUUUUGUACCAUUUUUCCUGCAGUUGUACUAAUGAUGUGAUGAGUUAGAAGCAGG
rnacentral:lncRNA from 1 species